rnacentral:rRNA from 1 species
UACAGAGGGUGCAAGCGUUGUUCGGAAUUAUUGGGCGUAAAGCGCGUGUAGGCGGCCAGGCAAGUUGGGUGUGAAAGCCCUCGGCUUAACCGAGGAAGUGCGCCCAAAACUACUUGGCUUGAGUACCGGAGAGGAUGGUGGAAUUCCCGGUGUAGAGGUGAAAUUCGUAGAUAUCGGGAGGAACACCAGCGGCGAAGGCGACCAUCUGGACGGAUACUGACGCUGAGACGCGAAAAGCGUGGGGAGCAAACAGG